UUUGGUGGCGAUAGCGAAGAGGUCACACCCGUUCCCAUGCCGAACACGGAAGUUAAGCUCUUCAGCGCCGAUGGUAGUCGGGGGUUUCCCCCUGUGAGAGUAGGGCGUCGCCAAGC
rnacentral:rRNA from 1 species